rnacentral:lncRNA from 1 species
UCCAUAUUCUGUCUCGGACAAGUACUUUAGACCAGUUUCAGCUUUUUUGACAUAGAAACUAGUUAAGUGUUGCAUACUUUUCAAUAUUUUGUGUAAAUAUGGCUUUGAAACUUUGAACACAGUUGCUUAUCAGUACCAUCAUUGUCACACUUGCCAUAUAGUGCAAGACCUAUCCAAAUCCACAAAAGCAGGUACAUUGUUUGUCUUAUCUAUUUAUUUAUUUUUUGGUCUGAAAGUCUGUGGUAAUAGUUUUACCCCAUACUUCCAUCAAUGCUUCAAAGGAGCAUGUUGUUAACAGACAGCUCUUGUUGUGUACUGGUACCUAGUUUUAUCUGUUCUGCAGCAGAGUUAGUUAGUUCCAUUUUGAUAAUCUCCUGCUCUAAAUGUCUGUCAUUGUUUUCCAUGAACAGGUUGAAGACUGACUAGAAAAAUAGAACGCACCAAAAGUUUAUAACACCUGCACCACAGCACAUGCAUGACACCUACAGCUUACAUUUGACAGUGGCAGUUAGGACAGUAGUUAGAUUUUUAUUGAAUUCUGACAUGAUGUUGUGAAGAUGAUGGAGGCUACAGUAUUACAUCCUUUAGACUUAAAUAGCCCAGCAAACAGAAAAAGGAAAAGGAUAUGUACUUCUCCAUUCGUUUCACCUGUACCAAAAAAGAAUACUCAUGAACCUGAAGAUGUUGUACAAUUUUAUGAGAAGGGGACACAAACAGACGGCAUUUUCACAAUGUGUGUA